rnacentral:pre_miRNA from 1 species
UUAGAAAUCACUUCACCAUUUUGCUAAAACACAGAUUUUAAUCCAGAAAGUCUGAGUGGAGCCAGAGAUUCUGCAUUUCUACCGAGUUCCCAGGAGAUGUGGGU